rnacentral:rRNA from 1 species
UACGUAGGGUGCAAGCGUUGUUCGGAAUUACUGGGCGUAAAGGGCGCGUAGGCGGGCCUGUAUGUCGAUUGUGAAAGCCCAGGGCUUAACCUUGGAAUUGCAGUCGAAACUGCAGGUCUUGAAUGCCUGAGGGGAUGGCGGAAUUCCCGGUGUAGAAGUGAAAUUCGUAGAUAUCGGGAAGAACACCUGAGGCGAAGGCGGCUAUCUGGCGGUGCAUUGACGCUGAGGAGCGAAAGCGUGGGGAGCAAACAGG